rnacentral:rRNA from 1 species
UGAGGAAUAUUGCGCAAUGGGCGAAAGCCUGACCCAGCAACGCCGCGUGAAGGAUGAAGUAUUUCGGUAUGUAAACUUCGAAAGAAUAGGAAGAAUAAAUGACGGUACUAUUUAUAAGGUCCGGCUAACUACGUGCCAGCAGCCGCGGUAAUACGUAGGGACCAAGCGUUGUUCGGAUUUACUGGGCGUAAAGGGCGCGUAGGCGGCAAUUCAAGUCAUCUGUGAAAUCUCCGGGCUUAACUCGGAACGGUCAGAUGAUACUGCUUUGCUAGAGUGCAGAAGGGGCAAUCGGAAUUCUUGGUGUAGCGGUGAAAUGCGUAGAUAUCAAGAGGAACACCUGAGGUGAAGACGGGUUGCUGGGCUGACACUGACGCUGAGGCGCGAAAGCCAGGGGAGCAAACGGGAUUAGAUACCCCAGUAGUCCCUGAGCGGGCUGGCAAGGCGCAU